GUCCACGCCGUAAACGAUGGAUACUAGCUGUUCGGAGCAAUCUGAGUGGCUAAGCGAAAGUGAUAAGUAUCCCACCUGGGGAGUACGUUCGCAAGAAUGAAACUCAAAGGAAUUGACGGGGGCCCGCACAAGCGGAGGAGCAUGUGGUUUAAUUCGAUGAUACGCGAGGAACCUUACCAGGGCUUAAAUGGGAGACGACAGGACUGGAAACAGUUUUUUCUUCGGACGUCUUUCAAGGUGCUGCAUGGUUGUCGU
rnacentral:rRNA from 1 species